UGCGGAGUAGAGCAGUCAGGUCAGCUUGUUGGGUUCAUAACCCAAAGGUCGAAGGUUCGAAUCCUUCCUCCGCUACCA
rnacentral:tRNA from 1 species